rnacentral:lncRNA from 1 species
CUAAGUAUGAAUUAAUCAUUCUACUCUAAUUACCCUUCUCUUAAAAUGGUCUGUGAUUGAAUUCAGCUGCAACCAAAGAGAUCAAAACUUUUUCUUACUUACUUUAAAGAGUUUUUCUUCAAGAAACUGUGCACAGCACAAUAAAACAGCAUUUCAAAAAGCUUUUAGUUUCCUCACUUUCUGGGAUGCUCCUAACUUUCAAAGCAACAGCCAGUUCUAUAAAACUUCUUUGGGCUGACUUAUCUCACAAACCAGCAGAGAAAUGAUUACUUUGGAUAGUAUAUAAAAUAGACCCCCUGUUUUGGAAAUCUUCAGCAGCUGUAAGGCUGGGAAAGGCACACUGGAGGAUAUUUAUAUAAGCAAAUUUCUUUUUAUUGAAUGUAGCUGGCUGUUCUCUGCAUUCUCCUUGUAUAGUCAGUACAGGACAUGAGCAAGAAGGUUCCAGGGGCAGUUUAGAUAUUUGCUUUGUACUCUGGAUUUCCCUUUAGAAAAAGCUGUCUUUUACUAUAGGCUAUAAGUGAGACUGGGUGGUUAAAUUAGGUGCCUAAAAUUGCAGUGUUAAUGAUUUCCAUGUCUUGUAUGCAUAUCUCCAUGUAUUGCACAGAUUGUAGCCUAUGCCAUAUUAUCACUUCUCUGUGUUUGGGUUCUCUCUGCUAUUUAACCUUCCUGAAGAAUUCCACUGCAGCAAAACAAAAACACUUCUGUCCCUCCCAGACUGGGACUCAGGAGCAAGGAGUCCAAUUCUCCAGGGUUUAUGAAGAAUUGCUGUAAAUGUCACUUACAGAAUGAAAAAAAGACAGUCUUGGAAGAGGAACAAUAAACUGGGGAGCAGAAAGAUAAAGAAUGAAAAA